AUCUGUCACUGAUGGAUGGGCCCGCGGCGCAUUAGCUAGUUGGUGAGGUAACGGCUCACCAAGGCGACGAUGCGUAGCCGACCUGAGAGGGUGAUCGGCCACACUGGAACUGAGACACGGUCCAGACUCCUACGGGAGGCAGCAGUAGGGAAUCUUCCGCAAUGGGCGAAAGCCUGACGGAGCAACGCCGCGUGAGUGAUGAAGGUUUUCGGAUCGUAAAGCUCUGUUGUCAGGG
rnacentral:rRNA from 1 species